UGCGCGCGACGCAUUUGAAUUUCCGAUUGGCUUUCUUCCUGACCUGAAAUUUACUGAAAUUAAAUGAAAUUGAGUGGCUCGCAUAUGUUACAAACCUUUGCCCGGCUCCAUCAAGCAGCGCAGGACCUCUCCAAGCGGAUAUUCCAGUAGCAGUGCCACCACGGCCGCCACAAAUUGAAAGCUGGAUAUGUAGACCGGCUGCCUAAAAUAGCCAGCCACUAUUCUCAGGAUGACAAUGUGCCAAAGAAAGGACUGAAAUGAGAUUCUUGCUAGUGGCCGAAAAACAGGCAGAGUGCAGAAAUCAUAGGCCACUCCUGUCGGAGAUAUCACAUGAGGAACACGAAUCCCGCGCAAAUCAGCAGCCACAAGUUCUUGUGCAGACCCGCAUACAAGGCCAACCAAAGAGAUGGCUUACCAAAGUCGUGGCGGAUGAAGAUGUAGCCGGAAAAAAGGACUCCUAAUGUGGCCAUAACAAGGAGCCACAUGGCCAGUUCGUACUUAAGAAGGCCCCGGAGCACCGCUUUAUUGGAACGCUGCUCGAGCAUGUGGUUCGUCACAAAGAACACGUUCUUCCACCAGUUGGUGCGGCAGAAAACCCGCUCGCCCUCGGUCAUAUGCCGCCAAAAGGGUCCGUUUUGGAUGCGCACCAGGAGAGUUCCAUUGAACAGAAUAAGGGCGACAAGCGAGGGCAGGAGUCUGAAGUAUCUGUUGAAAAACACACGGAAGUACACGGUAAUGCAAUCGAUGGUGCCAGUUGUGGGUUGAAUCAUUUGGCGUUCGGUGAAUUUCACGUAGAGCAGAAAGCCACUCAUCACGAAAAAUAUCUGGAUGACCAGGCUGCCGUUUUGGAAUAUCGAGGUCUCGAACCUGAAGAGGAACUGCUCGUAGUACUCGGGAUUUUCUAUCGGUACCGUCAUGAAGACCAUCAGAGUGUGACCUAGGAUUACAACGAACACGCCAAUCACUCGAAAUCCGUCAAAGAAGCUUAUAUCUCGCGAGAAAUCCGAGUCAUGCGGUUGAGUCAGUCGAUAGUAAUUCCGAAACACAGAAAAGGAGCAGUUAGUAUACACUUACGACGACCGUUUAGAGCCUCCCGAAAGAAGUUUUCAGUUGACUCCGCUUUCUUUUUGCUCAGUCGGUAGUCGUGGACAGAGGAGCACAGAGUUAGAAGGAGGAUACAGACCAGAAGACCGUAAAAGGUCAGAUCAAGUCCAUCUGAGAAAUCCAUUUUACAGGUUUUAAAUUCUUCUCCAAGGGCUUAUCGGCUGGCACACAAUACUCGAUGAGGCUGCGAACACUGAGCGAGAACUUCUCACUGAACUCAAGAUUUAGGCAGUUGUUGACCAAUUCUUCGUGAAGGAGGCGCUCCUCUGCAUCCGCAGUUCGCCGGUGCACUCUGGCGUAAUAAGAGCGGAGUUCCUUAUCCAGGAUAUCUUCUUCCCCGAACUCGCUCGAAUCAGAAAAGCCAUUUAAAGUUUGUUGGCAAGUCUCCAGGCACACGCCCCUAAAGACGCGAUCAUGGCGAAAACGAUGCUUCGAGUCCCGCGAAACUUCGUCGAUUUGGUGCCACAGAGCAGAGCUGGCAUUGGGUAAAAUCUCCACGUAUACCAGGCAGUAUCUACCAAAGGGCCUAUCCAGACAGAGAUCGUAAUCGUCCAGAUAAUGCAGGGCGGGCAUCUGCCUGUAGAGUGUCACUACACAAGGAGCUCUCCCUAAAUAGUCUCUUCAAUAUGGAGUUUCAGCUACUUACAAUUAAAUGGGCCAGAUGUAAAGUUCCCUUGUCCCAAUGAUAGCAUAGUUAAAAGAACACAAAUUCCCAGCCACAGUACCAUAUUCGGAGUGUAUGGCCUAGCACUUGAAGAUCAACUAUUGGAAAUCUUUGCUCGAUUUGCCAUACUAAUUCGGAGAUAGCGUGCUAAGCCGUCAGGCCUGGAUGCGCUCCCCUAAGAUUGCUUUACCCAAGUGUCGACCAGUAAAGAUCGGCAGAUCAAUAUGAGACUUCACGUAGAAAACGAAGGGAUGGUUAGCAAUAAAGUGCUUGCGCCUAAAGCCCGCCACGGCCAUCACCCGGAAUCCUGGGGAGGGACAAUGAAAGCGAUGGAGAACUUUAUACAGUUGGACUUUAUUGAGGCUACAUGCUUGGUUAGUACAAAAAAGUAAAGAGUAAAUACAAGAUCAUUGAUUGUGCGCAGUCUUAAGCUUAUUACAUUUGGUUUUUGAUUAUAGCUUGGAGCUUUAAAGGCCAAGAACCGUUUGGGAUCCGGAAGUCGCCAUUAACGUCAUAUAUGGAGAUGAGACACCCGGAUCGCAUGGUUGGUUAGUUGGAUGUACCCAGGAUUAAAGUUUCUGUAUGCUCCCAGCGAAAAGAGCGGUUGCGUCCUUAUUCAGAAUGUAAAAGUUAAAUGGAUGAUCCACGUAGAAGCGUUUCGGUUCCGGUCGGGCCAUAGGCAUCGAAGUGAGCAUCAUGACCAUACCUGUAAAUCAAGAUGACAGUGGCAUACAGUUCAACGAACGCGAGACCAUUGAUGUAUUUUGAAUGGAAUGAUGAAUGAGAACUGUAUGACUUUUCCCGUAUAUAUAAAUGGAAAGUCCUUUUUGAUUAUGUUAUAGUUAGGAAACUAUAAAGCGAGAAGAGAAACCCAAAUUGUGUGGUUGGUUGGUUAGUAGGAUGUACCCAGGAUUAAAGUUUUUGUAUGCUCCCAGCGAAAAGAACUGUUGCGUCCUUAUUCAGAGUGUAAAAGUUAAAUGGAUGGUCCACGUAGAAACGUUUAGGUUCUGGCUGGACCAUAGGCAUCGAACACCGCAUCAUGACCAUACCUGUAAAUUGAGAUGACAGUGGCUUUCAGUUCAAUGAAAGUGAGACCAUUG